rnacentral:rRNA from 1 species
AGUCCACAUCGGCAGGGAGGUUUGGCACCUCGAUGGCGCCUCAUCACAUCCUGGGGCUGUAGUAGGUCCCAAGGGUUGGGCUGUUCGCCCAUUAAAGUGGUACGCGAGCUGGGUUCAGAACGUCGUGGGACAGUUCGGUCCCUAUCCGUCGCAGGCGUAGGAAAUUUGAGGAGACCUGUCCUUAGUACGAGAGGACCGGGAUGGACGUACCUCUGGUGUACCAGUUGUUCUGCCAAGGGCAU